rnacentral:tRNA from 3 species
UGGGGCGUGGCCAAGUGGUAAGGCAACGGGUUUUGGUCCCGGAAUUCGGAGGUUCGAAUCCUUCCGUCCCAA